ACAUUUUAUUCCAUUCAGUGCGUAAGCCAUUAAAGUAAUGCGUUACAACGUUGUGAGUUUCCUUGAUUUUAUCUCGUUUAACUAGUAAAAGUGAUUUAUGCAUAAGUCUGUGAUUUAUUUAAUUCGUAGUUUUUACUAACCCGAUAACAUAUUUCGCAUAAUGAAUAUUAUGUUAAAUAAAAGGAAUAAAAAGUAACAUAGCUACUUGUCUAACCCUUGCCCUCGUUCACUUUCG
rfam:Avibacterium paragallinarum JF4211, WGS project CBMK01000000 data, contig: 33-17-19-57